GACGAACGCUGGCGGCGUGCUUAACACAGGCAAGUCGAACGGUGAAGCGCCUUCCUUUUUGGUGGGUGUGGAUGAGUGGCGAACGGGUGAGUAACACGUGAGUAACCUGCCCCCUUCUUCUGGAUAACCGCAUGAAAGUGUGGCUAAUACGGGAUAUUCUGGGUCUGUCGCAUGAUGGGUCUGGGAAAGAUAUUGUUUCGGUGGGGGAUGGGCUCGCGGCCUAUCAGCUUGUUGGUGGGGUGAUGGCCUACCAAGGCGGUGACGGGUAGCCGGCCUGAGAGGGUGGACGGUCACACUGGGACUGAGACACGGCCCAGACUCCUACGGGAGGCAGCAGUGGGGAAUAUUGCACAAUGGGCGCAAGCCUGAUGCAGCGACGCCGCGUGAGGGAUGGAGGCCUUCGGGUUGUGAACCUCUUUCGCCAGUGAAGCAGGCCUGCCUCGUUUGUGGGUGGGUUGACGGUAGCUGGAGAAGAAGCGCCGGCUAACUACGUG
rnacentral:rRNA from 1 species